rnacentral:misc_RNA from 1 species
GUUCCGUAGGUGAACCUGCGGAAGAAUCAUUAAAGUUAUAGUCCCCCGGCCCUCUGGGCUGGGGUCUUCUAUACCACCCUUUGUUUAUUACACCUUUGUUGCUUUGGCAGGCCUGCCCUCGGGCUGCUGGCUCCGGCCGGCUCGCGUCUGCCAGAGGACCUAAACUCUGUUUGUAUAUGAAGUCUGAGUACUAUAUAAUAGUUAAAACUUUCAACAACGGAUCUCUUGGUUCUG